UACCAGCACCCCGAGUGGUCGGGACGAUUAUUGGGCCUAAAGCAUCCGUAGCCGGUCCUGCAAGUCUUCCGUUAAAUCCAGCUGCUCAACAGAUGGGCCUGCGGGGGAUACUACAGGGGCUAGGAGCGGGAGAGGCAAGCGGUACUUUAUGGGUAGGGGUAAAAUCCGUUGAUCCAUAGAAGACCACCAGUGGCGAAGGCGGCUUGCCAGAACGCGCUCGACGGUGAGGGAUGAAAGCUGGGGGAGCAAACCGG
rnacentral:rRNA from 1 species